rnacentral:piRNA from 1 species
UGAUCCUCUCACGUUUGAGGAAGGUGCGGA